GGAGGACUUGCAGUUCCUUGGAGAUGGAGACUGGUUACUUUAUGAAAGGAGUCAAGGCGAGCGCCGUGAACUGCAAUCCCGUCUGGAAGUCUCACCUUUCCCAGGUCCGCAGCCACAAAGCUGGGUCAAGUACCCUGGAAGUGAACUUUAUGCAGCGUGCGGUUUGACUCUGCUGUGCCAGCUGGAAUACACCUUUAGGAGCUGCAUAGGCAUAUCAGCACUUACAUAUGUGAUUGUCAUCUUCAAAGAGGAAACCCUGGCAGGCCCUGUCCACAAGCAACGUCCCUGUUUUUGGGAGUUUCCUUCAUUCUCGUGAGGAGAGUCGCUAACAGUGAGUUACUGCCACUUGCCAGGUGGGUUUGACGAGUGGUCGAGGGCAUGGUUAGGAUUCUGUUGUC
rnacentral:lncRNA from 1 species